UUUGGUGGUAGUGUCUUCCUGGUGCAUUUGUUAAGUGUUCAAAUGGGCCUGACUCUGCCACAUACAUUAUGUAGGAGCUGGCAAAGGCUUAGAGACAAAGUCUUUCUUGAGUGUUUCCUAAUAACAGACUGGCUCCCAUAUGU
rnacentral:snoRNA from 14 species